GACGACGGGGAUCGAGUCGUCGGCGCGUUCCAUGUGAACGUGAACGUGGACGUGGACGUGGACGGCAUUAACACUAAAAGGAUGCCAAGUGUGCUUCAUGUAGUUACCUACAACGCAAUCAAAAACAAGGGAAGUAGGGGUAAACUUUCCCAGGCUGAAAGAAAAUCCACGCGAUGAAGUCAAUAUUACAACGUUCGGUUCAUCUGAGCCAUCGUAUGUUUCCUGCCCGGGAUGGACAGUCAGUUGGGUUCGGGCUUGGGCCGGAUCUUCAUUUCGGUGAAUCUCAGAGAAUAUUGCCAGCCGGUCCAACUGGACCACUCCACGCCGUCUGCGUAGGACGCGUGGCCUCCACCCAGGUAUCCUGAAAGGCGAGUUGGUGGAGUUCGAUUCGUACCCUUUCCAAAACCGAAGACCCAGUAUGAAAAAUGCCUUGCGCCAAUUGACCUCUCCGUGGAUAUUGCGCAAUCCGCGUCACUGACCAAUCAGAGGCCAGAGAUCUGCAUAGACCAAAGCCCGUUUUUGCUCCCGCCAUUUUCUCUGGCAACAUUGAAUGGUAUCCUGAAAGGCGAGUUGGUGGAGUUCGAUUCGUACCCUUUCCAAAACCGAAGACCCAGUAUGAAAAAUGCCUUCGAUGGAUCAAACUUUGUGGAAGACCGCAUCAUCAACUAAAUCCAUCUAAUAUCAACCGGAACACAUAUGUUUGCACCAAGGCUGCCCAGAGAAUCAGUCAAAACGGAACUGAGCUUGAGGAGCCCUGCUUGCUCUUCUGACAGUACCUGCACACAAAGGUCAAAUGUUUCUUGUCUUUUCAUAUUCGAGAUGUGGAAUUGAUGAAAGGAAAUCCAUAGGUAUGCUUGAUUACCUCUUGUCACACAAGUCCAACCUUUCACUCUUUACACUUGUUCCAUCCCAAAACAGAAAAACAGCGUAAAAUGGCACUUGAUUCUAAAAUGCUAAAUGGGAAAAAAAAAAAAAAAAUCUAAACUUGCAGGCAUUCAAACCGUUUUUUCCCUCAGGCAAUUAAGUGCUUAAAUUCUUGAUCAGCGAACCUACUACAGUAUUUUCUGCCUUGCGCAGCUGUUGGGGCACAGCCUCAUCGAUCAGUACCCGCAUUACAGCGGUACCUGGGUUUUCCAAGGUCUUGGUUUUCGUACAACCCCUGCAUGAGGUGUUUGCCCCAACCGUGAAGGCCUACUUGGAGGAGAAAAACUUGCCCUUAUGUUGCCUUCUGCUUCGGGACAAUGCGCCUGCCCACCCUCCUGGUUUGGAGGACGACUUGAAUCAAUCAAGGUCAAGUUUCUUCCUCCAAACGCGACACCCUUGAUUCAGCCCACGGACCAGCAAGUCACCGCCAAUUUCAAGAAGAAGCUUGAUACAAAAUUGUUGUUCCAAAGACCCUUUUUGAAAAAAAAAAAAAAAAAUUCACUUCAACAUCACCGUCGUCGACAAAGCUUGGAGCCAGGUGACACAAAGGACCACGAACUCUGCACGGAAGAAAUUGUGGCCCGAAUGUUUUGCUGAGCGUAACUUCGAAGGUCUUUCAGCUGUUGCGGGGCCUUCGGCAGCUGCUGGUGGCGACACGGGGUCAAAUCGUUUGUGAAAUCGUGACAAUUGGCCAAAAUCUCGGUUUGAGAGAUGGACACCGAUGAUGUUGAGGACCUGCCGGAGGAGCAUCGUGCCGAGCUCACGACUGAGGAACUCCUGCACCUUCCGGAGGAGCGAAAGAAGACAUUGAAGGAGGCGAUGUUGUCUGAUGAGGCUGAAGAACUCCAUCAACCGAGCAAAAGCAGAAUGUUGCAGAGCACUGCAAAAUUUCAAUGACGUCUUGACUUCAGGGAGUUGCUCAAAAGAUGGCAGAAAUAGUCUCCAUUCGAUUCUUUCUUUGUGGAAAAAGGGGCGAGUCACCCCCACCGAAGACAUCUGAAACUGUUGUUCUGCAUGUUCCAUUAACCCGACCUCCAGUUGCACGUUAAUUUUUUUUUUUUUA